rnacentral:rRNA from 1 species
GAUGAACGCUGGCGGUAUGCCUUACACAUGCAAGUCGAACGGAAAUUAGCUUCGGUUAAUUUUAGUGGCGGACGGGUGAGUAACACGUGAGAAUUUGCCUUUAGGAGGGGGAUAACUAGUGGAAACACUAGCUAAAACCCCAUAUGCCCACGGGUGAAACAGAGGAAUAAGGUUAAACCAUAACUCCUCUGCCUGAAGAGAAGCUCGCGGCUGAUUAGCUAGUUGGUAGGGUAAUGGCCUACCAAGGCGACGAUCAGUAGCUGGUCUGAGAGGACGAUCAGCCACACUGGAACUGAGACACGGUCCAGACUCAUACGGGAGGCAGCAGUGGGGAAUUUGGGACAAUGGGGGCAACCCUGAUCCAGCCAUUCCGCGUGAGUGAAGAAGGCCUUCGGGUUGUAAAGCUCUUUCGGCAGGAACGAAACGGUAGUUACUAAUACUAGCUGCUAAUGACGGUACCUGAGGAAGAAGCACCGGCUAACUACGUGCCAGCAGCCGCCGUAAAAC